AUUGAACGCUGGCGGCAUGCCUUACACAUGCAAGUCAAACGGCAGCACGGGAGCAAUCCUGGUGGCGAGUGGCGAACGGGUGAGUAAUAUAUCGGAACGUGCCCAGUCGUGGGGGAUAACGCAGCGAAAGCUGUGCUAAUACCGCAUACGAUCUAAGGAUGAAAGCGGGGGAUCGCAAGACCUCGCGCGAUUGGAGCGGCCGAUAUCAGAUUAGCUAGUUGGUGGGGUAAAGGCCCACCAAGGCGACGAUCUGUAGCUGGUCUGAGAGGACGACCAGCCACACUGGAACUGAGACACGGUCCAGACUCCCACGGGAGGCAGCAGUGGGGAAUUUUGGACAAUGGGCGCAAGCCUGAUCCAGCAAUGCCGCGUGCAGGAUGAAGGCCUUCGGGUUGUAAACCGCUUUUGUACGGAACGAAACGGCCCUUUCUAAUACGGGGGGCUAAUGACGGUACCGUAAGAAUAAGCACCGGCUAACUACGUGCCAGCCGCCGCGGUAAUAC
rnacentral:rRNA from 1 species